rnacentral:ncRNA from 1 species
UACGAUAUACCUAAUUUAUUUUAAAUUUUUAUAUAUAUAAAGUUUGAUCCCUGCUUAUUAUUUUCUUGUUAGCUUAUUUUAUAUACUUUAUAUGUUUUAAUAGUCAUUUGGUAGUGAAUUAAUUUAUUUAUAAGGUUAUUCUUGAUGUAGUAAUGUUAAUAGCUCUAAGUCAAUCCGUGCCAGCACUUGCGGUUAUACGUAUAGGGUAAAGGAAAUUUUUUGGUAAAAAGAAAUUAGUUUGAUUAUUUAAACCAUUUGAAAUGAUUUAUUUUUAGGUAAAAUUAGGCAUAAAUUUAUUUUAAUAUUAUAGAUAGGAAACGAAAGGUUUAAAAUUAAAAAUAUAAACCUGGAUUAGAUACCCAGUUAUUUUUAAUGUAGCACUUAUUACCCGAGUAGUAUAAGAGAUCUAGAAAUUUAAGGGAUUUGGCGGUAUUUUAUUCUUAUUAGAGGAACUUGUCCUGUAAUCGAUACUACACGAGGAGUUGACUUUCUUUUGUUCUCAGUUUGUAUAUCGCUGUCGUCAGAAAACUUUUAUAGAUUGUGUUUUCUUCUAGUAUAAACUUCUAGACGUCAAGUCAAGGUGCAGCAUAUGGGAAAGGUUGAAUGAUGAGUUACAAUAAUGAUAAUUAUUAUGGAUUGGUUUAUGGAAAAUAAGCUUUAAAGGUGGAUUUAUUAGUAAGUUUUUAAUAGUAAGGAGGGCUGAUUAUUAGCUCUAAAAUAUGUACACAUCGCCCGUCACUCUCAUAUUAGUUGAGAUAAGUCGUAACAUAGUAGGCGUAUUGGAAAAUGUGCCUGGAUAUAU